rnacentral:rRNA from 1 species
UUAAGUGAAUAAGGGCGCACGGUGGAUGCCUUGGCACUAGGAGCCGAUGAAGGACGGGACUAACACCGAUAUGCUUUGGGGAGCUGUAAGUAAGCUAUGAUCCAGAGAUUUCCGAAUGGGGGAACCCAAUAUCUUUUAUAGGAUAUUACUUUUCAGUGAAUACAUAGCUGAUUAGAGGUAGACGCAGAGAACUGAAACAUCUUAGUACCUGCAGGAAGAGAAAGAAAAUUCGAUUCCCUGAGUAGCGGCGAGCGAAACGGGAAGAGCCCAAACCAACAAGCUUGCUUGUUGGGGUUGUAGGACUCCAAUAUGGUAGUCUGUUAGUAUAGUUGAAGGAUUUGGAAAAUUCCGCUAAAGAGGGUGAAAGCCCCGUAGACGAAAUGCUGACAACACCUAGGAGGAUCCUGAGUACGGCGGAACACGAGAAAUUCCGUCGGAAUCCGCGGGGACCAUCCCGCAAGGCUAAAUACUCCCUAGUGACCGAUAGUGAACCAGUACCGUGAGGGAAAGGUGAAAAGCACCCCGGAAGGGGAGUGAAAUAGAUCCUGAAACCGUGUGCCUACAACAAGUCAAAGCUCGUUAAUGAGUGAUGGCGUGCCUUUUGUAGAAUGAACCGGCGAGUUACGAUUGCAUGCGAGGUUAAGUCGAAGAGACGGAGCCGCAGCGAAAGCGAGUCUGAAUAGGGCGAAUGAGUAUGUAGUCGUAGACCCGAAACCAUGUGAUCUACCCAUGUCCAGGUUGAAGGUGCGGUAAAACGCACUGGAGGACCGAACCCACGUACGUUGAAAAGUGCGGGGAUGAGGUGUGGGUAGCGGAGAAAUUCCAAACGAACUUGGAGAUAGCUGGUUCUCUCCGAAAUAGCUUUAGGGCUAGCCUCGGAAUUGAGAAUGAUGGAGGUAGAGCACUGUUUGGACUAGGGGCCCAUCUCGGGUUACCGAAUUCAGAUAAACUCCGAAUGCCAUUCAUUUAUAUCCGGGAGUCAGACUGCGAGUGAUAAGAUCCGUAGUCGAAAGGGAAACAGCCCAGACCACCAGCUAAGGUCCCAAAAUAUAUGUUAAGUGGAAAAGGAUGUGGGGUUGCACAGACAACUAGGAUGUUGGCUUAGAAGCAGCCACCAUUUAAAGAGUGCGUAAUAGCUCACUAGUCGAGUGACCCUGCGCCGAAAAUGUACCGGGGCUAAACAUAUUACCGAAGCUGUGGACUACACCAUUAGGUGUAGUGGUAGGAGAGCGUUCUAAGGGCGUUGAAGGUCGAUCGUGAGGACGGCUGGAGCGCUUAGAAGUGAGAAUGCCGGUAUGAGUAGCGAAAGACAGGUGAGAAUCCUGUCCACCGUAUGACUAAGGUUUCCUGGGGAAGGCUCGUCCGCCCAGGGUUAGUCGGGACCUAAGCCGAGGCCGAUAGGCGUAGGCGAUGGACAACAGGUUGAUAUUCCUGUACCAGUUGUUUUUGUUUGAGCAAUGGAGGGACGCAGUAGGCUAAGGAAUGCAUGCGAUUGGAAGUGCAUGUCCAAGCAAUGAGUCUUGAGUAGAGUUAAAUGCUUUACUCUUUAAGGACAAGUUGUGACGGGGAGCGAAAUAAUAGUAGCGAAGUUCCUGAUGUCACACUGCCAAGAAAAGCUUCUAGUGAGAAAACAACUGCCCGUACCGUAAACCGACACAGGUAGUCGAGGAGAGUAUCCUAAGGUGAGCGAGCGAACUCUCGUUAAGGAACUCGGCAAAAUGACCCCGUAACUUCGGGAGAAGGGGUGCUGACUUCGGUCAGCCGCAGUGAAUAGGCCCAAGCGACUGUUUAUCAAAAACACAGGUCUCUGCAAAAUCGUAAGAUGAAGUAUAGGGGCUGACGCCUGCCCGGUGCUGGAAGGUUAAGAGGAUGGGUUAGCUUCGGCGAAGCUCAGAAUUGAAGCCCCAGUAAACGGCGGCCGUAACUAUAACGGUCCUAAGGUAGCGAAAUUCCUUGUCGGGUAAGUUCCGACCCGCACGAAAGGCGUAACGAUUUGGGCACUGUCUCAACGAGAGACUCGGUGAAAUUUUAGUACCUGUGAAGAUGCAGGUUACCCGCGACAGGACGGAAAGACCCCAUGGAGCUUUACUGUAGUUUGAUAUUGAGUGUUUGUACCACAUGUACAGGAUAGGUAGGAGCCGAUGAGACCGGAACGCUAGUUUCGGAGGAGGCGCUGGUGGGAUACUACCCUUGUGUUAUGAACCCUCUAACCCGCACCACUAAUCGUGGUGGGAGACAGUGUCAGAUGGGCAGUUUGACUGGGGCGGUCGCCUCCUAAAAGGUAACGGAGGCGCCCAAAGGUUCCCUCAGAAUGGUUGGAAAUCAUUCGAAGAGUGUAAAGGCAGAAGGGAGCUUGACUGCGAGACCUACAAGUCGAGCAGGGACGAAAGUCGGGCUUAGUGAUCCGGUGGUUC